rnacentral:rRNA from 1 species
GAUGAACGCUGGCGGCGUGCCUAAUACAUGCAAGUCGAGCGAACAGUCGAGGAGCUUGCUCCUUUGACGUUAGCGGCGGACGGGUGAGUAACACGUGGGUAACCUACCUAUAAGACUGGGAUAACUUCGGGAAACCGGAGCUAAUACCGGAUAAUAUUUCGAACCGCAUGGUUCGAUAGUGAAAGAUGGCUUUGCUAUCACUUAUAGAUGGACCUGCGCCGUAUUAGCUAGUUGGUAAGGUAACGGCUUACCAAGGCAACGAUACGUAGCCGACCUGAGAGGGUGAUCGGCCACACUGGAACUGAGACACGGUCCAGACUCCUACGGGAGGCAGCAGUAGGGAAUCUUCCGCAAUGGGCGAAAGCCUGACGGAGCAACGCCGCGUGAGUGAUGAAGGUCUUCGGAUCGUAAAACUCUGUUAUUAGGGAAGAACAAACGUGUAAGUAACUGUGCACGUCUUGACGGUACCUAAUCAGAAAGCCACGGCUAACUACGUG